rnacentral:rRNA from 1 species
CCGGAAUUAUUGGGUUUAAAGGGUGCGUAGGCGGAUUAAUAAGUCAGCGGUGAAACUCACAGGCUCAACCUGUGCCGUGCCGUUGAAACUGUUUAUCUCGAAUGCGGAUGCUGUGGGAGGAAUGUGUAGUGUAGCGGUGAAAUGCAUAGAUAUUACACAGAACACCGAUUGCGAAGGCAUCUCACAAAGCCGUGAUUGACGCUGAGGCACGAAAGUGUGGGGAUCAAACAGGAUUAGAUACCCUGGUAGUCCACUACUGUAAACGAUGAUAACUCGCUGCCGGCGAUAUAUAGUCGGUGGCCCAGCGAAAGCGAUAAGUUAUCCACCUGGGGAGUACGACCGCAAGGUUGAAACUCAAAGGAAUUGACGGGGGCCCGCACAAGCGGAGGAACAUGUGGUUUAAUUCGAUGAUACGCGAGGAACCUUACC